UACGUAGGGGGCAAGCGUUGUCCGGAAUUACUGGGCGUAAAGCGCGCGCAGGCGGUCCCUUAAGUCUGAUGUGAAAGCCCACGGCUCAACCGUGGAGGGUCAUUGGAAACUGGGGGACUUGAGUACAGAAGAGGAAAGCGGAAUUCCACGUGUAGCGGUGAAAUGCGUAGAGAUGUGGAGGAACACCAGUGGCGAAGGCGGCUUUCUGGUCUGUAACUGACGCUGAGGCGCGAAAGCGUGGGGAGCAAACAGG
rnacentral:rRNA from 1 species